CGCUAUGGGUUCCACUAUGGGUCACUGAGUCCCGCUAUGGGUCGCUAUGGGUCCCACUAUGGGUCGCUAUGGGUUCCGCUAUGGGUCCCGCUAUGGGUCCUGCUAUGGGUCCCGCUAUGGGUCCUGCUACGUGUCCUGCUAUGGGUCGCUAUGGGUCCUGCUAUGGGUCCCGCUAUGGGUUCCACUAUGGGUCACUGAGUCCCGCUAUGGGUCGCUAUGGGUCCCACUAUGGGUCGCUAUGGGUCUCUAUGGGUCCCGCUAUGGGUCCCGCUAUGGGUCGCUAUGGGUCUCUAUGGGUCCCGCUAUGGGUCCCGCUAUGGGUCGCUAUGCGUCUCUAUGGGUCCCGCUAUGGGUCCUGCUAUGUGUCCCGCUAUGGGUCGCUAUGGGUCCCGCUAUGGGUUCCACUAUGGGUCACUGAGUCCCACUAUGGGUCGCUAUGGGUCCCGUUAUGGGUCCCGCUAUGGGUCGCUGUGGGCCCCGCCACCCCAUCCCGCUCCACUUCCUACAGGGAAACCCCGCCCCGCCCCCAUGCCGCAAGCCACGCCCCCUCUCCCAUAUAAGGGCAAGCACCCCUCCCUCGGCCCCGCCCACACGGCUCAAGCACCGCCCCCUUCUCAAACCCCGCCCCCUUUUCAGACCACGCCCCCUCGGGGGCCGCGCCGCGUUUUUAUUGGCUCAGAGCAUCCCGCGCACGCGCGCCAGCGCCUCCUCCACCUUCCGCAGCUCCGCCUCCGCCUGCG
rnacentral:lncRNA from 1 species